rnacentral:rRNA from 1 species
UACGAAGGGGGCGAGCGUUGUUCGGAGUUACUGGGCGUAAAGGGCGCGUAGGCGGCGCUCCAAGUUAGGCGUGAAAGCCCCGGGCUCAACCUGGGAAUUGCGCUUAAGACUGGAGUGCUCGAGUGCGGAAGAGGUGAGUGGAAUUCCUGGUGUAGCGGUGAAAUGCGCAGAUAUCAGGAAGAACACCCGUGGUGUAAACGGCUUUCUGGACCAUUACUGACGCUGAUGCACGAAAGCGUGGGUAGCAAACAGG